rnacentral:tRNA from 1 species
AGUUAAUGAACUUGAAUAAGUAUAUGUUUUGAAAACAUAAAAUAGAAAAUAACUUUCUAUUAACUU